rfam:Ananas comosus cultivar MD2 ACMD2_Scaffold_2185, whole genome shotgun sequence.
CCCCUUGAAGAUGAUGAACUGGUGGAAUAUAUUCUCACCGGUUUGGAUGAAGAAUAUGACUCGCUGGUGUCCGGAGUCCUCUCUCGUACCGAUCCAAUCUCGGUGAGUGAACUCUACUCUCAGAUGCUUGCCUUCGAGA